UUGGAGGUGAUGCAUAAAAAACAACAUCUGAUUCUCAUUGAUGGUGUUUGUAUUCAUACUGUCUGAUCCAG